rnacentral:rRNA from 1 species
GAUGAACGCUGGCGGCGUGCCUAAUACAUGCAAGUCGAGCGAACAGACGAGGAGCUUGCUCCUCUGACGUUAGCGGCGGACGGGUGAGUAGCACGUGGAUAACCUACCUAUAAGACUGGGAUAACUUCGGGAAACCGGAGCUAAUACCGGAUAAUAUAUUGAACCGCAUGGUUCAAUAGUGAGAGACGGUUUUGCUGUCACUUAUAGAUGGAUCCGCGCCGCAUUAGCUAGUUGGUAAGGUAACGGCUUACCAAGGCAACGAUGCGUAGCCGACCUGAGAGGGUGAUCGGCCACACUGGAACUGAGACACGGUCCAGACUCCUACGGGAGGCAGCAGUAGGGAAUCUUCCGCAAUGGGCGAAAGCUUGACGGAGCAACGCCGCGUGAGUGAUGAAGGUCUUCGGAUCGUAAAACUCUGUUAUUAGGGAAGAACAAAUGUGUAAGUAACUAUGCACGUCUUGACGGUACCUAAUCAGAAAGCCACGGCUAACUACGUG